UGGGUUUGGGCGGGUUUGCGGGUACAAUUGCCAUCCCUAAUUAUUGAUGGUCUCUGUCUAUCUGGUAAAUAGAAAUAGACCAUUAUUAAUUCCAGAUGUCCGCAGAAUCAGAAGCAUCUGGUAAGCCAAGGACCAAUUAACCAAAGCCCCAGCUUCGGCAAUAGUAAAAUCACCUAAAACAAGUUUACAAUAUUACGCUACAAUGAUGUAUUUCUAUUGCUGAUACUUAAUUACCUUGUUGUUUUAUUUCUAAUUAAUAGUUGUAGUUGUAGUUGUAAUUGGAAUUAUUAUUGUAAUUAUUAUUAAAAUUGGGUAACCCAUGUAUUGGAUGGUAAAUAAGUAGUUUUAUAAAUUGUAAUGAUUGUUAUUCAAUGCAACUGUUAAGAAAUAAACAGUCGCUUAUUCUGACUAUAAUAAUUUGGAAGCUAACAUGAUGGACGGCGAGUCAUUUUACAAUAAACUAGGAUGACCUGACGUCAUCCACAAGGAUAAGACAUGAAUGACAGAUCGUUUCUAUUCAAAAUAUAAAUGACGAUACAUAAAUAAUAUGCGUCGGUGUAUUCUAUUUACACAUGUCGGUUGUAGUAAUGUCUCAGAUGACAGAUCGUUCCUCCUCUAUUUAGGUAGACUACACUUCGGUUUAAUACAAAAUGAUAAAUGACUAAUCAUCUAAAACCUUUGUGCCGAUUUAAGUACUUUUAAUAUUUAUUAUUAUUAUUUUUUCUUUGUUACUACUAUAAUAGAUAAUAAAAUAAUAAUAUUAAGAAAAAUAAUUAACUAAGUACAUUUUGACAAUUUCUAGUAGUCAAUUUCGAUUUUUAGACAAAGUAAGCGUACCAACGAAAAUACAGCAUUAUAGUCAUCUAAUAAUUUAAUUUUAACUAAGUUAGAGUUUAAUAAAUGAACCGCAUAACUAAUCUUUGGCCCAAAAUGCGCAUUAUUGAAAUGUAAAGUGAAAGAUUGAUCCAUUUGGUGCAGUAGAGGCCCAACUCUGCCCAAAAAAAACAAUUAUAUGAGCAUGAAAAUGCUUGCAAAAGCGUGGGAAUUGGCGUGGAAUAAAAUUCUUCUCUUAUAUUUUAUUAUAAACUUUCAAUAACCAUAGAAAUAUAUACAAUAU
rnacentral:lncRNA from 1 species